rnacentral:rRNA from 1 species
AACGAACGCUGGCGGCAGGCUUAACACAUGCAAGUCGAGCGCCCCGCAAGGGGAGCGGCAGACGGGUGAGUAACGCGUGGGAACGUACCUUUUGGUUCGGAACAACUCCGGGAAACUGGAGCUAAUACCGGAUAAGCCCUAACGGGGAAAGAUUUAUCGCCGAAAGAUCGGCCCGCGUCUGAUUAGCUAGUUGGUGAGGUAACGGCUCACCAAGGCGACGAUCAGUAGCUGGUCUGAGAGGAUGAUCAGCCACACUGGGACUGAGACACGGCCCAGACUCCUACGGGAGGCAGCAGUGGGGAAUAUUGGACAAUGGGCGCAAGCCUGAUCCAGCCAUGCCGCGUGAGUGAUGAAGGCCUUAGGGUUGUAAAGCUCUUUUGUCCAGGAAGAUAAUGACUGUACCGGAAGAAUAAGCCCCGGCUAACUUCGUG